rnacentral:rRNA from 1 species
GAUGAACGCUAGCGAUAGGCUUAACACAUGCAAGUCGAGGGGCAGCAUGGUCUUAGCUUGCUAAGACUGAUGGCGACCGGCGCACGGGUGCGUAACGCGUAUGCAACUUGCCUCACAGAGGGGGAUAACCCGUCGAAAGACGGACUAAUACCGCGUACACUCUAUGUUGGGCAUCCAAUGUAGAGGAAAUGAACUUCGCUGUGAGAUAGGCAUGCGUCCCAUUAGCUAGUUGGUGAGGUAACGGCUCACCAAGGCGACGAUGGGUAGGGGAACUGAGAGGUUGAACCCCCACACUGGUACUGAGACACGGACCAGACUCCUACGGGAGGCAGCAGUGAGGAAUAUUGGUCAAUGGGCGAGAGCCUGAACCAGCCAAGUCGCGUGAAGGAUGACUGUCUUAUGGAUUGUAAACUUCUUUUAUACGGGAAUAACAAGAGUCACGUGUGACUCCCUGCAUGUA